rnacentral:rRNA from 1 species
CUACGGAAGGCAGCAGUGGGGAAUAUUGGACAAUGGGCGCAAGCCUGAUCCAGCCAUGCCGCGUGAGUGAUGAAGGCCCUAGGGUUGUAAAGCUCUUUCACCGGUGAAGAUAAUGACGGUAACCGGAGAAGAAGCCCCGGCUAACUUCGUGCCAGCAGCCGCGGUAAUACGAAGGGGGCUAGCGUUGUUCGGAAUUACUGGGCGUAAAGCGCACGUAGGCGGAUUGUUAAGUGAGGGGUGAAAUCCCGGGGCUCAACCCCGGAACUGCCUCUCAUACUGGCAAUCUCGAGUUCGAGAGAGGUGAGUGGAAUUCCGAGUGUAGAGGUGAAAUUCGUAGAUAUUCGGAGGAACACCAGUGGCGAAGGCGGCUCACUGGCUCGAAACUGACGCUGAGGUGCGAAAGCGUGGGGAGCAAACAGGAUUAGAUACCCUAGUAC